GGCGCUGGGGCAACUUUUUGGUUGGCUGCCGCUGGGUGCUGACCGCCCGGGCCCCUCUUAAACUGGGUCUCUCCCUUCCCCUCCCCUUUCGGCCUCGGUGCACGACUCGGGGCCGAGGCGCCUGGCACCUUAUGUACCUGUGACCCCGACGCCCAAGGGAUCCGGGCCACAGGGAGCUUCAAGCUCCUUUUGCAAUGAAAAAAGAAAACAACAACAAACAAAACUUCGAGAAUGAAACUGACCCAGGACGGAGGCGCAGAGCCCGGGACGGUGUCCGUGUUCUAGGCGCACGCGGGGCCCCCGCCCGUCCGGUGGCUCUGACGAUCCCGGAACGGCCAGUUUAGGAAGCGGGUUAAGAUCGCGGGCCUGAAACACUUUUAAGCUUCAUUGUGGAGCAGUGUUAAUUCCGGUGUUGGCAAGAAACGGAGGCUCAGUCCAGUUCAAGAUGCUGGCAAACAGGGCUGGUGCUUGAAAGCUUUUCGAGGAGAUAAGGUGUAUUUGAACAUGUGACGAGUGAUAUAUACAGAGUAGAGGUGUUUGCUUACUGUCCCUUUCAUGGUGGUAGCAGGGGAGGACUUUUGAAAAGGUGCCAAAUAUCUGCAAGAACAUAUAUCUGCCCCAUAGAGAAUUUCUGUAGAAUUCAAUUCCAUUUAAACUAUUUAAAAUCAUUUUUCUGCCAACCAGCCCCAGCCUGAAGCUCAACAUAGUAACUAGACUAGCUAUUCUAUCAAUACAGCUAUCUUAAGAAAACUGUCAGCUGCUUGAAUUUACAAAGUUUUUCCUAUAAUAGAUUAUUCUGAUGAUUAAAUCUGACCCCUUUGACAGACAACGGAUCAGUGGAUUCCUAAGGAGCAGGGAGGAGUUUGCUGCAUAGGGUUUGGGGCAGGGGGGAGGGGGGUGUUGAAGAACUGCUCUACACUUUGAUUAUGGUGCUGAUUGCCUUGAUCACAUUUUGGAGUGAGUUUUACUGAAUGUAAAUUCAACUUCAAUAAA